UACGGAGGAUCCGAGCGUUAUCCGGAUUUAUUGGGUUUAAAGGGUGCGUAGGCGGGCUGAUAAGUCAGUGGUGAAAGUUUGCAGCUUAACUGUAAAAUUGCCAUUGAAACUGUUAGUCUUGAGUACAGUAGAGGUAGGCGGAAUGUGUAGUGUAGCGGUGAAAUGCAUAGAUAUUACACAGAACACCAAUUGCGUAGGCAGCUUACUGGAGUGUUACUGACGCUGAGGCACGAUAGCGUGGGGAUCAAACAGG
rnacentral:rRNA from 1 species